UGAGAACUGACAUUAACACAUCCU
rnacentral:piRNA from 1 species